AAAUGAGGUAUCACUACAUAUU
rnacentral:piRNA from 1 species